UGUCUGGUGCUGGCCAAUGCCAGCGCGUCGCUGCCCAGCGAAGCCGGUGUGAACCCGGCGCUGUCCCGCAACGGUGAUGCCCCACCCUUCUACCAGGGUUGGGGAUGAGCCCGGUCGCCUGGCCUCGGCGCGCCUCACUG
rnacentral:ncRNA from 1 species